rnacentral:lncRNA from 1 species
AUGAACUUUAUAAUAUAACAUAUAUCACACCUUUACAUUUCAAUCAUCAGAAAACAGAUUUCCUCUUUUACCAGCCUACUAGUAUCCCUGGGGAUCCAUAAGGGCUCCCCUCUACACGUGAACCUUUAAUAUUUACAACCUGAUUCCAGGGUCGUCCCCAUACCCCGUCCGGUAUGGGCACCAAAACCAUGAACCUCAAUACCCGUCCGGUAUGAGGGU